rnacentral:rRNA from 1 species
AUUACAGUUUGAUCCUGGCUCAGGAUGAACGCUGGCGGCGUGCCUAAUGCAUGCAAGUCGAACGCACAGCGAAAGGUGCUUGCACCUUUCAAGUGAGUGGCGAACGGGUGAGUAACACGUGGAUAACCUACCUCAAGGUUGGGGAUAACAUUUGGAAACAGAUGCUAAUACCGAAUAAAACUUCGUAUCGCAUGAUACAAGGUUAAAAGGCGCUACGGCGUCACCUAGAGAUGGAUCCGCGGUGCAUUAGUUAGUUGGUGGGGUAAAGGCCUACCAAGACAAUGAUGCAUAGCCGAGUUGAGAGACUGAUCGGCCACAUUGGGACUGAGACACGGCCCAGACUCCUACGGGAGGCUGCAGUAGGGAAUCUUCCACAAUGGGCGAAAGCCUGAUGGAGCAACGCCGCGUGUGUGAUGAAGGCUUUCGGGUCGUAAAGCACUGUUGUAUGGGAAGAACAGCUAGAGUAGGGAAUGACUUUAGUUUGACGGUACCAUGCCAGAAAGGGACGGCUAAAUACGUGCCAGCAGCCGCGGUAAUACGUAUGUCCCGAGCGUUAUCCGGAUUUAUUGGGCGUAAAGCGAGCGCAGACGGUUGAUUAAGUCUGAUGUGAAAGCCCGGAGCUCAACUCCGGAAAGGCAUUGGAAACUGGUCAACUUGAGUGCAGUAGAGGUAAGUGGAACUCCAUGUGUAGCGGUGGAAUGCGUAGAUAUAUGGAAGAACACCAGCGGCGAAGGCGGCUUACUGGACUGUAACUGACGUUGAGGCUCGAAAGUGUGGGUAGCAAACAGGAUUAGAUACCCUGGUAGUCCACACCGUAAACGAUGAACACUAGGUGUUAGGAGGUUUCCGCCUCUUAGUGCCGAAGCUAACGCAUUAAGUGUUCCGCCUGGGGAGUACGACCGCAAGGUUGAAACUCAAAGGAAUUGACGGGGACCCGCACAAGCGGUGGAGCAUGUGGUUUAAUUCGAAGCAACGCGAAGAACCUUACCAGGUCUUGACAUCCUUUGAAGCUUUUAGAGAUAGAAGUGUUCUCUUCGGAGACAAAGUGACAGGUGGUGCAUGGUCGUCGUCAGCUCGUGUCGUGAGAUGUUGGGUUAAGUCCCGCAACGAGCGCAACCCUUAUUGUUAGUUGCCAGCAUUCAGAUGGGCACUCUAGCGAGACUGCCGGUGACAAACCGGAGGAAGGCGGGGACGACGUCAGAUCAUCAUGCCCCUUAUGACCUGGGCUACACACGUGCUACAAUGGCGUA